UUAUGUGAUCAUUCUAGUGUUAGUGAAUCAGAUCCCAUUAAAAUCUCUAUAGUUAAGUGUGCCUAAUUUAAAGUAGUUCUAAAAUGGGUGACCUAUCAAGAAGUCCUAGUAUUGCACCCU
rfam:Picea glauca, whole genome shotgun sequence.